rnacentral:rRNA from 1 species
AGUGAACGCUGGCGGUAGGCCUAACACAUGCAAGUCGAACGGCAGCACAGUAAGAGCUUGCUCUUACGGGUGGCGAGUGGCGGACGGGUGAGGAAUAUAUCGGAAUCUACUUUUUGGUGGGGGAUAACGUAGGGAAACUUACGCUAAUACAGCAUACGACCUACGGGUGAGAGCAGGGGAUCUUCGGACCUUGCGGGGUUGAAUGAGCCGAUGUCGGAUUUGUUAGUUGGGGGGGGAAUGGCCAAGCAAGGCGACGAUCGGUAGCUGGUCUGAGAGAAUGGUCGGCCACCUGGGAACUGGAACACCGACCAUACUCCUACGGGAGGCCGCAGUGGGGAAUGUUGGACAGUGGUCGCAAACAUGAUCCAGCCAUACCGCGUCUGAGAAAAAGGCCUUCGGGGUGUAAAGACGGUUUGUUGGGUAAGAAAAGCAGCAGCUUAAUACCCCGCGGUUCUGACGGUACCCAAAGAAUAAGCACCGGCUAACUUCGUG